AUUGAACGCUGGCGGCAGGCCUAACACAUGCAAGUCGAACGAGUGGCGGACGGGUGAGUAAUGUCUGGGAAACUGCCCGAUGGAGGGGGAUAACUACUGGAAACGGUAGCUAAUACCGCAUACCAUCAGAUGUGCCCAGAUGGGAUUGGCUAGUGGGUGGGGUAAAGGCUCACCUAGGCGACGAUCCCUAGCUGGUCUGAGAGGAUGACCAGCCACACUGGAACUGAGACACUGUCCAGACUCCUACGGGAGGCAGCAGUGGGGAAUAUUGCACAAUGGGCGCAAGCCUGAUGCAGCCAUGCCGCGUGUGUGAAGAAGGCCUUCGGGUUGUAAAGCACUUUCAGCGGGGAGGCGUUACCCGCAGAAGAAGCACCGGCUAACUCCGUGCCAGCAGCCGCGGUAAUAC
rnacentral:rRNA from 1 species